UAUACUGGUUAGGAAUGCAAAUACCACAAA
rnacentral:piRNA from 1 species